AGAAGAUGUGAGUGGCCCCGAAAUCUGGGGUGGUUAGUUUUCACGGGCUGGGUAAUUUCACAGGCUAAUGAGUGGGAGGAUUAUUCCAACUAUUUUGGAG